UUUGUUUUGUUUAAUAUUUAAGAUAAUAUAAUUGUAUUUUGAUUGUUUUAUUUAGGAUUUCACCCGUGGUAUACCGUUUCGUAUUACUAUCGAUCCAAACCCGUCCUACCAUCUAAUCUCGUACGACCCAAAUUCAGUUUGAUAAAAUUAAACA
rnacentral:sRNA from 1 species